rnacentral:rRNA from 1 species
GUAGGUGGCAAGCGCUGUCCGGAAUUAUUGGGCGUAAAGCGCGCGCAGGUGGUUCUUUAAGUCUGAUGUGAAAGCCCCCGGGCUCAACCGGGGAGGGUCAUUGGAAACUGGGGAACUUGAGUGCAGGAGAGGAAAGUGGAAUUCCACGUGUAGCGGUGAAAUGCGUAGAUAUGUGGAGGAACACCAGUGGCGAAGGCGACUUUCUGGCCUGUAACUGACACUGAGGCGCGAAAGCGUGGGGAGCAAACAGGAUUAGAUACCCUGGUAGUCCACGCCGUAAACGAUGAGUGCUAAGUGUUGGGGGGUUUCCGCCCCUCAGUGCUGCAGCUAACGCAUUAAGCACUCCGCCUAGGGAGUACGGUCGCAAAGACUG